UACGUAGGGUGCGAGCGUUAAUCGGAAUUACUGGGCGUAAAGCGUGCGCAGGCGGUUCGUUGUGUCGGCGGUGAAAGCCCCGGGCUUAACCUGGGAAUGGCCGUCGAAACUGGCGAACUGGAGUGUGGCAGAGGGGGGUGGAAUUCCGCGUGUAGCAGUGAAAUGCGCAGAUAUCAGGAGGAACACCAAUGGCGAAGGCAGCUCGCUGGGACGUGACUGACGCUGAGACGCGAAAGCGUGGGGAGCAAACAGG
rnacentral:rRNA from 1 species